GUCAAAUUCGAGGUGAGUUACCAGUAGCUUCUGCCUCUCGUUGCCUUUCAAUCGGUUCUCCUUGUUAUUUGCUGCAGUUUCGCUCUCUUGCUUCUUAAUGGUUAUAGCUGUUUUGGUGGUAUAAGUAUCAUGUAUCGGUAAUUAUUGAUUUGCUUCUGUUAACCGUCGUAGAGUGUUUACUGAAAACAUUGAACUGGGUAUGAUCCAUUCAAUUGAAUAUUCAGGCACUUUUCAUUUAUGAAAAAUUUAUGAAAUUGAUAACUUUACUGCUCCCAGCCCAGUUUUUGAAACUUGUAAUCUUUUGCUUUACUCUCUCAUCUGUAACUUUGUAUAUUAUUUCGGCUUUCCAUUGUUUUUGAAGGAUCGAGAUUAGGUUAUAAAUUUGUGGAUUUGAUUUUCAUAGUCAGAGGUUGCUGUUGCUGUGAGAAGUGAUUUCCUAUUCUGAUUUUGCAUAUAUGAUUUUGAAGGGAAAAACUAAAUGCUUGGGAUAGACUAUGAGAAUGUGUUGAAAAGGAGAUUAUCUCUGUUAUGCCAAAGGUGUUAAGGCUGCAGUAGAUUGCUUUAAUUUGCUCUUUCAGUGAAACAAAAAUCUGUUUAUAGGAAAAGUGAAAACAUAUAGUAGAAAAUGCUAAACUGACUUUCAGUUUUUAGAGAAUAAGAAACCAAAAGAU
rnacentral:misc_RNA from 1 species